rnacentral:misc_RNA from 1 species
GAAAUGCGAUAAGUAAUGUGAAUUGCAGAAUUCAGUGAACCAUCGAAUCUUUGAACGCAUAUUGCGUCCCUUGGCAUUCCGAGGUCAACCUUGAGAAUCACGUACCCCGCGGCGGGCGGCGCUCCGACCUCCAAGGCGAGCCUGGUUUAGGUUCCACUACGCCUGAGCCGGAACCGCCGCCGCCGAC